GACGAAGGAUGCAAGCGUUAUCCGGAUUCAUUGGGUUUAAAGGGAGCGUAGGUGGCCUUAUAAGUCAGUGGUGAAAUCUCUGGGCUUAACCCAGAAAUUGCCAUUGAUACUGUAGGGCUUGAGUACAGUUGCUGUGGGCGGAAUAUGACAUGUAGUGGUGAGAUACAUAGAGAUGUCAUAGAACACCGAUUGCGAAGGCAGCUCACAAAACUGUAACUGACACUGAGGCUCGAAAGUGCGGGGAUCAAACAGG
rnacentral:rRNA from 1 species